UACGUAGGGUGCAAGCGUUGUCCGGAAUUAUUGGGCGUAAAGGGCUCGUAGGCGGUCCGUCACGUCGGGAGUGAAAACUUGGGGCUUAACCCCAAGCCUGCUUCCGAUACGGGCGGACUAGAGGUAGGCAGGGGAGAACGGAAUUCCUAGUGUAGCGGUGAAAUGCGCAGAUAUUAGGAGGAACACCGGUGGCGAAGGCGGGUCUCUGGGCCGUAACUGACGCUGAGGAGCGAAAGCGUGGGGAGCGAACAGG
rnacentral:rRNA from 1 species